CCCUUAGAUGUUCUGGGCCGCGCGCGCGCUACACUGAUGCAUGCAACAAGUCUUUUCCUUGGCCGAGAGGCCUGGGCAAUCUUUGAAUAUGCAUCGUGAUGGGGAUAGACGAUUGCAAUUAUUCGUCUUCAACGAGGAAUUCCUAGUAAACGCAAGUCAUCAGCUUGCAUUGAUUACGUCCCUGCCCUUUGUACACACCGCCCGUCGCACCUACCGAUUGAAUGGUCCGGUGAAGGCUUCGGAGGCGGCUUUCUCAAUGUUUAUUCGGCGAGACUGCUGCCAAAGUUGAAUGAACCUUACCAUUUAGAGGAAGGUGAAGUCGUAACA
rnacentral:rRNA from 1 species